UGAUGAAAAAGCAACUAAAGGGGGGCCUUAAACUUUACCAUGAUAUAAAAAAUAAAAAUUAAAAAAAGGGUCCAAGAAAGACCUGAUGAUGCCCGUUUUGGGUGGUUUUCAGUGGUGAAGAGUCUCCAUCA